CAGCAGCCGCGGGAACACGUAGGUGGCAAGCGUUGUCCGGAAUUAUUGGGCGUAAAGGGCUCGCAGGCGGUUUCUUAAGUCUGAUGUGAAAGCCCCCGGCUCAACCGGGGAGGGUCAUUGGAAACUGGGAAACUUGAGUGCAGAAGAGGAGAGUGGAAUUCCACGUGUAGCGGUGAAAUGCGUAGAGAUGUGGAGGAACACCAGUGGCGAAGGCGACUCCCUGGUCUGUAACUGACGCUGAGGAGCGAAAGCGUGGGGAGCGGGCAGGAUUAGAUACCCCGGUAGUCCCUGUCUCUUAUAC
rnacentral:rRNA from 1 species